GAUGAACGCUGGCGGCGUGCCUAAUACAUGCAAGUCGAGCGAACGGACGAGAAGCUUGCUUCUCUGAUGUUAGCGGCGGACGGGUGAGUAACACGUGGAUAACCUACCUAUAAGACUGGGAUAACUUCGGGAAACCGGAGCUAAUACCGGAUGAUAUUUUGAACCGCAUGGUUCAAAAGUGAAAGACGGUCUUGCUGUCACUUAUAGAUGGAUCCGCGCUGCAUUAGCUAGUUGGUAAGGUAACGGCUUACCAAGGCAACGAUGCAUAGCCGACCUGAGAGGGUGAUCGGCCACACUGGAACUGAGGCACGGUCCAGGCUCCUACGGGGGGCAGCAGUAGGGAAUCUUACGCAAUGGGCGAAAGCCUGACGGAGCAACGCCGCGUGAGUGAUGAAGGUCUUCGGAUCGUAAAACUCUGUUAUUAGGGAAGAACAUAUGUGUAAGUAACUGUGCACAUCUUGACGGUACCUAAUCAGAAAGCCACGGCUAACUACGUG
rnacentral:rRNA from 1 species